AUGACUCUCAGCAACGGAUAUCUUGGCUCUUGCAACGA
rnacentral:rRNA from 1 species